CAUGAAGCUGGAAUUGCUAGUAAUGGCAGGUCAGCAUACUGCCGUGAAUACGUUCCCGGGCCUUGUACACACCGCCCGUCACACCAUGAGAGUUGGAAAUACCCGAAGCCUGUGAGCUAACUGUAAAGAGGCAGCAGUCGAAGGUAGAGCCAAUGAUUGGGGUGAAGUCGUAACAAGGUAGC
rnacentral:rRNA from 1 species